CUCAGCUUGAAGGUUGGGCUUAACUUUAUGUGUUCAAUACGACCAGUUCGUCCUGUUAACAUAAGUAAUACCGGCAUUUUCCAGCUCUACUGCCGUUUAAGGCUUUAUUUUAUUUAGUUACAGGAUUUAUAUCAUGUCUCAAGUUACUGGCGUUGUUAAGUGGUUCAACUCUGACAAAGGUUUUGGUUUUAUCGAGCAAGAGUCUGGCCCAGACGUUUUCGUACACUUCCGUGCGAUCAACUCUGACGGUUUCAAAACUCUAGACGAAGGUCAGAAAGUGCAGUUCACUGUGACUCAAGGUCAAAAAGGUCCACAAGCUGAGAACGUAACUGUUAUCUAAGCUGACCUUUGGGUAACCCAAGGUUACCUAAAAACAGAAUUCCAAGAGCUGUGAUGAGUAUCACAGCUCUUUUU
rnacentral:sRNA from 1 species